GGUUAAGCGACUAAGCGUACACGGUGGAUGCCCUGGCAGUCAGAGGCGAUGAAGGACGUGCUAAUCUGCGAUAAGCGUCGGUAAGGUGAUAUGAACCGUUAUAACCGGCGAUUUCCGAAUGGGGAAACCCAGUGUGAUUCGUCACACUAUCAUUAACUGAAUCCAUAGGUUAAUGAGGCGAACCGGGGGAACUGAAACAUCUAAGUACCCCGAGGAAAAGAAAUCAACCGAGAUUCCCCCAGUAGCGGCGAGCGAACGGGGAGCAGCCCAGAGCCUGAAUCAGUGUGUGUGUUAGUGGAAGCGUCUGGAAAGGCGCGCGAUACAGGGUGACAGCCCCGUACACAAAAAUGCACAUGCUGUGAGCUCGAUGAGUAGGGCGGGACACGUGGUAUCCUGUCUGAAUAUGGGGGGACCAUCCUCCAAGGCUAAAUACUCCUGACUGACCGAUAGUGAACCAGUACCGUGAGGGAAAGGCGAAAAGAACCCCGGCGAGGGGAGUGAAAAAGAACCUGAAACCGUGUACGUACAAGCAGUGGGAGCACAGAGCAAUCUGUGUGACUGCGUACCUUUUGUAUAAUGGGUCAGCGACUUAUAUUCUGUAGCAAGGUUAACCGAAUAGGGGAGCCGAAGGGAAACCGAGUCUUAACUGGGCGUUAAGUUGCAGGGUAUAGACCCGAAACCCGGUGAUCUAGCCAUGGGCAGGUUGAAGGUUGGGUAACACUAACUGGAGGACCGAACCGACUAAUGUUGAAAAAUUAGCGGAUGACUUGUGGCUGGGGGUGAAAGGCCAAUCAAACCGGGAGAUAGCUGGUUCUCCCCGAAAGCUAUUUAGGUAGCGCCUCGUGAAUUCAUCUCCGGGGGUAGAGCACUGUUUCGGCAAGGGGGUCAUCCCGACUUACCAACCCGAUGCAAACUGCGAAUACCGGAGAAUGUUAUCACGGGAGACACACGGCGGGUGCUAACGUCCGUCGUGAAGAGGGAAACAACCCAGACCGCCAGCUAAGGUCCCAAAGUCAUGGUUAAGUGGGAAACGAUGUGGGAAGGCCCAGACAGCCAGGAUGUUGGCUUAGAAGCAGCCAUCAUUUAAAGAAAGCGUAAUAGCUCACUGGUCGAGUCGGCCUGCGCGGAAGAUGUAACGGGGCUAAACCAUGCACCGAAGCUGCGGCAGCGACGCUUAUGCGUUGUUGGGUAGGGGAGCGUUCUGUAAGCCUG
rnacentral:rRNA from 1 species